GGAUUCCAAAUCAUGUAUCUGAUGUUUUGGAUUUUAAAUAUGUACCUUUUUGUUGCUUACAAAAGUGUACUUGGUUAGUGACAAGUAAUGAGCAUCUCUUCACUCAGAAAUUUAACUUCUUACCCUUAACUGUUCUUCACCUUUGAAAUUUUCAGGCUUUCCCAGAAGAUCACUAAUAAUAUUGUUUAUUUUCUUCCAAGAAAUGCUGAUAUUGACCAGGUAAGCCAUUACUAAGGAAAUUCUGUACACCUCUACUUAAUGGGUAAUUAAUUGCCUUACCAGAGAACCUGCUGUGAGAAGUCCCUAACUGAUGUCUUACAUCCCUCCACCACCACAGCUCCUGAGAAGGAGAUGAUAUCACUAGGGUUUUAUGAAGAUGGAUUGACAGGAUGACCAGUUAUGUCAUGUUACAGGUGCUGCAUGGCAACCAUCCAAGGCCUGCCUUUCUGUAUUUUGGAAAAUAGUAACUCAGUUAAAGAGACGAGAUCUUAGGAAGGUGUAGAGGUUCAUAAUUCCAGUACUCGGCAGAAUCAGGAGGGUUCCUGUGAGUAGUAAGGAGAAAAAAAGAAGGAAGCAAGUGUCCUUUAGCUUAAACCAGAACAGUUUCACUGUCCUCACGUCUCUUGUUCUUUUACUGGAACACCUGUUUACAUCAUGCUGGCCCUCUGUGAUUUUAGUGUGUUAGACUUUACUUUCUCCUUCCUAAUCUCCCAGUCUGUCCCUUCAACUCAUGGCUAUUCAUUCCUUAUAAAGUUAGGUGUGUGUAUUUUACCUGUGUUUUCUCUGUCUUAUCUAAGACUCUCAUAGUUUUAGUUGAAUAGAUUUCUCCAACCACUGGCCCACUCAGGAUAAUGCUGACCUACUGACAAAAAUUGUCUGGUAUAUUUUCCAGGGUGAGGCCCAAGCAUAAAUUGUUCUAGCUUUCCAAGUAGUUCUAGUGUGCUCCAUAGUUGAGAUUCUCUGGGUUAUAAAAGGAGUACGUGAAAAGCUAGCACUUAGACUGAAGUAGAGGAAAUGUAAACUCUGGCUUCCCUUCUGUCAUCUAUUUAUAAUCUACUUGUCCCAGCAUUAAGCUUCCCAAGACAGUGUAUAUGAAUGUCACUUGCAUUCUUUGGAGCUGUGAGUUUCCAACAUCAGCCUUCACAUUGAACAUAUUCCUUGUGUAACUACUUUCUAGACUUAGGCACCCACGAUACUCCAAAGCUGUCUCCUAAGAGGCUGUAUGAUCUGUGUAGUCCUAGUACAUGCAGACAAACUCACUUGGGUAUUUUGUAGCAAUGGGAAAACACACACACACACACACCCUCCCCAAAUAGGGUUUUCCAUGCCCUGAUUGUAGACCAGGCUGGCCUCAAACUCAGAGAUCCACCUGCCUACCUGCCUGUAAUUCCCAGAAUUGAUAUUAAAGGUGUGUGCCAACAUUGCCUGGCUAGAAGCCACAUUUCAGUAUGAAAAUUUAGUGAUUAAAUUUCUUUUGACACAAAGAAAAAUUAGCUUGCUUUUUACUUUUGUUUUUGUGCUUAAAACUUGUCAGAAUUAGACUUGUAGAAACUGGGAAGAUGGUUCAAUUGGUAAACAAAGGAAGACACCUGCUAUCAACCUCUGGCCUCCACACAGCAUGUACCCCACUCCCUUGUGUCCCACUUGUAUGUGAGUACUCAUAUAAACACAAGCACACAGUACUAAACUGCCUAGUCCUUCAUGUUUUCUGCCUCUAGAGGGAGUAAUGAGGCUAGAAAAUGAUAAAGGAAAUGACUUGGUACGAAGUGUAGAUGGAAUGAACUGCAAUGGGAAGUCACUUUUUUUUUUAAGAGAGAAAAUAUAUCUGUGUGAGGUUUUUAAAAUGAAAAAAGAUUGAGUAAUAAAAGCUUGAAAGAGUGUGAAGAGUUGGUUAUGAAUCUGCUGUCUGAAUUCAUAAAUGUAUCUUUAGCAGACAUUAAAUUCCAUUUCAGAGAGGUUAUGCUAUGUCCUACUGACUGCCAAGCUGAGUAUGCAGAUAGAGCCUGGCUUAGGAAUCGUUUGUGUAGGAGAUGGUACCCAUUGAUUUUUUUUUUUUUUUUAAGCUGGGGAAAUCUUUUUCUGGGUUUCCUAUUUCCUUGACCUCUCGUUCCCCUUUUCCUUGUGGAGUCAUUCUAGAUCAUGCGUCCUUUGCUAUCAUACACUCACUGUAAAACCAGAACUAAUUUGUUCAAAACAUCUUUUUGUGAGAGGCUCUGUGGAAAUAGGUAUUAAUCAGAAAUUGCGACCUACAGAAAUAGGUAUCUAUCAAAACCACACAAAGCCAGGGCCUUGGGUCUGGCGCGGAGAGACCACCGUUUGAAUUGUGUCUUGCUGCUGCUGCUGCUGCUUCCUGUUCCCUGCUGUUUGCCUUCAUUUCUCUCCCUUAAGUCUCAAGCCCAGGCAGCACUGGUUUUGCAGUCACCACACAUGGCAAACAUGAAAACUUCAUUUAAAGGUGUAAGCCUAUGUAGUAGAGAGGGAUGCCUCUCAAUAUAUCAGUUAUCUAAGGAGAGCUGCAUGCAGCAGGUUCAGACACCGUUUAUAUUUGAAAUCUGUGUGAGAGCAUAAGAUAAUGAGAACAGGCCCCUCAGCCCUUGUGGUGUAGUAACCCUUUCUUCAUUUGCUUUCAAAACCACACAAAACUGCAGCACUUAGACUCUUCAGUUCAGAUUAAGCACUUAGAUCAUGUUCAUGCUGAUUCACAUAACAGGGUAACACUGAGCAGCCUCCCUACAAUUGUGUUAGAGUAAACGUGGUGGCUGGAGAGGAGGCCCAGCAACUAAGAGCACUGGCUGCUCUUUAGGAGCUAGGCUUUAAUUCCCAGCACCCACAUGCUCAAAACUGGGUAUAACACCCUCUUCUGGCCUCUUCAGGUACUGCACAUUCAUACACAGGUACACAGACAUUUGUGCAGAAUACUAAUCCAUACACAUAAAAAUAAGAUACACCUGUAGCCAUCCACCAGACAACUCCUGACCCUUCUCUAGGAUAACCCCACCCUCUCUAGCUCUUUGAGAUGUAUAUCCUAAUAAUACCUAUUUUAUUUCAAACAUCUGUAUUCUCUUUGGCUUUUAAAGUUUUUUCUAUAGGAGGCUGAAAGUAUAGCUAAGUGGUAGAUUGUAUUAGUAUGUAUAAGUCCCUGGGCUCAAUCCAUAGUAUCAAAACUGAAUUCUAUUCCAUAUGUAGUUCAGGGGAUGGGUGGCUGCUAAUUACUAAGCUAUAUCAUCACCCCCUAUAGUUGAUGUUCGUUGGUAUAUAGGUAAGAAGAUAGGUAAAGAAUAAGGAUGUUUUUGAAAAUAUUCCUAAGGGUUUUUUUUUUUUUAACUAUGUCUGAAUGUAUGGAAUGUAGAUGGGGUGGCACACGGAGGCCAGAAGAGGGCACCAGAUCCCUUAGAACUGGGGUUACAGAUGUGAGCCACCCAACAUAGGUGCUGGAAUCAAACUCAAGAUCAGCAAGUGCUUUUAACCUCUGAGCCACUUCUUCAGGCCUGAAAACAUUAAAAACAAAAACAAACAAACAAACAAAAAACCUUGCUGUGUAGAAUCUAGUACUAUGUAUCUGAACAACUAGAACUAUUAACCAAUAAAAGAGCCUCUUAAAUGAUACUGCUAAGUGGUAAAUACCUAAAUUCAGUUUAUUAGCAUUUUUGAAGUGGAAAAUUAGUUUCUAAAUGUUAGAAUUAAUGAAAGAUUGUAACAAAAUAUUCUGAUUUAAACUAAUAGUAGAAAUAUAUUUUAAAACUAUUCAUGUGGUGAACAGCGUAAAGUCAUUCCAGCAGGUGGAAGACUCUUACUCCAGCCCCAGAAACAUAAAAGAGCUAAGGUGGGGUUGGUGUGUGGAGAGACUGUGGACUUGAGACAAUUGAACUUGAAAAUAACUAGCCUUGCAACUUGGAGUACACAGACAUUCACUCCUCCUUCUGAAAUAGCUGCCACAUUGUAGAUGUAUACAGUAUGCCAGCUGGGUGGGUAGUGCCCCUAGGGUUCAUAAGGAGAGUCUUCUGCCCAUUUAACUAGAUUAUUCCAACACUGUAGAAUAUGCAUGUGAGGUUAUCAGCCUGAGGAAGUUUAGUGAUUUGCCCAGUCAUUCUGCCACACAGUGGCAGAGCCAGCACCUCAGCAACUUGCUGCAUCCCAUGGAAUAUUUACUGCUGAGAAAAACAAAAUUCACUACAUACCUCAAUAGUUAUUUACCAUGAGAUUGGCGGUGAUAAUUAGAAACUGAUUAGGAUAGGGUGAGCAAAAGAAAUUAUAUAAAAGAAUUUCUGGGUUUUCUGCCUAGCCUGACAACCUGAGUUUAAUGUCCUGAACCCACAUGGUAGAAGAAAAAAAGACUUCUCCAAGUUGUCCUCUUGACUAACACAUACAUGAUAGUCCACAUGCCCUCACACAAGUGAUAACUGAUGUACUUUAAAUUUGAGAACCUGUAAAUCAGUUCUAGUCAUUUCUGUUUGAUUU
rnacentral:lncRNA from 1 species